GCCAACAUGGUAUAAUGGUUUCAGUGCUGGAUUAUGACUCUGGAGACCAGGGUUCAAACCCCAGCUUGGCU